AUACGGAGGGUCCAAGCGUUAUCCGGAAUCAUUGGAUUUAAAGGGUGCGCAGGCGGUUUAUUAAGUCAGUGGUGAAAUCUCGAGGCUCAACCUCGAAGCUGCCAUUGAUACUGAUAAACUUGAGUUCAGUUGGAGUAGGCGGAAUGUGUAGUGUAGCGGUGAAAUGCUUAGAUAUUACACAGAACACCGAUAGCGAAGGCAGCUUACUAAACUGAUACUGACGCUGAGGCACGAAAGCGUGGGGAGCGAACAGGAUUAGAUACCCCAGUAGUCC
rnacentral:rRNA from 1 species